rnacentral:misc_RNA from 1 species
CAUUUUCGAUUUUUUUUUCCUCACGGUUAAUUUGGCGAUCCGCUUUCGCGUGGAGACGGGCUAUAUCACGGGGCCCGGGGAAAUCGCGUUAAUUGAGUCGAUUAAAAGCCGGAGGUCGAGCACUCUAGACUUUUCUCGAGAAGAGAAAUUGAGUCGCUUCAAGUAAAUUUGCAAUGCAUAACAUGAC